rnacentral:rRNA from 1 species
UACGUAGGGUGCAAGCGUUGUCCGGAAUUACUGGGCGUAAAGAGCUCGUAGGUGGUUUGUCGCGUUGUCCGUGAAAACUCACAACUCAAUUGUGGGCGUGCGGGCGAUACGGGCAGACUGGAGUACUGCAGGGGAGACUGGAAUUCCUGGUGUAGCGGUGGAAUGCGCAGAUAUCAGGAGGAACACCAAUGGCGAAGGCAGCUCUCUGGGACGGUACUGACGCUGAGACGCGAAAGCGUGGGGAGCGAACAGG